AUUGAACGCUGGCGGCAUGCCUUACACAUGCAAGUCGAACGGCAGCACGGGUGCUUGCACCUGGUGGCGAGUGGCGAACGGGUGAGUAAUACAUCGGAACGUACCUUAUCGUGGGGGAUAACGCAGCGAAAGCUGUGCUAAUACCGCAUACGCCCUGAGGGGGAAAGCGGGGGAUCGCAAGACCUCGCGCGAUUAGAGCGGCCGAUGACUGAUUAGCUCGUUGGUGGGGUAAAAGCCCACCAAGGCGACGAUCAGUAGCUGGUCUGAGAGGACGAUCAGCCACACGGGGACUGAGACACGGCCCAGACUCCAACGGGAGGCAGCAGUGGGGAAUUUUGGACAAUGGGGGCAACCCUGAUCCAGCAAUGCCGCGUGAGUGAAGAAUGCCUUCGGGUUGUAAAGCUCUUUUGUCAGGGAAGAAACACCGGCUCUAACACAGUCCGGGAAUGACGGUACCUGAAGAAUAAGCACCGGCUAACUACGUGCCAGCAGCCGCCGUAA
rnacentral:rRNA from 1 species